AGCUGUGAAUAAGAAACGGUUGAUUAGUUUAGUCUUAGUCGUUUGAAGCAAACGUCGCUCACCGAUUUUUCUCAAUUACGUGCUCGUCUCAAAGAUAAAUCGUAUCUCGAAAUCAGGUUGGCGAAUAUCGAGGCGACGUCGAGGAUCUUAUCGCGCCAACGGCUUCCCUCGCGAUCUGCGUUUCGAAGGAUGGUAACGAGCCGUCAAAAUAAACAAAUAGUCAGGUUUCGCGGUCUUCUUACUUGGGAGAACGAUGAAACUGGGUCCGUACGGACCAGUUUAGAAAACGGUACUCGUUCCUUUGUUUUUGUAGAAACGGGCAACCUCGUCUGUUUACGGUCAAAUCGAAAAAUAAGGGUUGAAGUAAUGCGUUUUCCAGGAUCGUCCAUAUGCAUGUUUACAUUUUAGAUUUCAUGGAAAUACGUUCUUCUCCUUUCAUAUUUGCCAAUAGCUUUUAAUUGCACCAAUUACGACUAUUAUACGAACGUAAUAAGCAAGAAAAACUGGGACGACCACAAAAAAAUGGAAAUAGAAAUGCAACGAUGAGAACAAGGAUAAACAGAACAGGGAUGAUAAUAAUAAAAAAAGAUCGGUGUAUAACCGACGUCGUAGGUGAACGAAUGAAAGUGCGGGGUGGGCGAAAAAUUGUUUGCGUAGCAGGCAAACAGGCAGGCAGGCAAAGCACAGGCAAAGCAAGCAAGCAAAGCAGCAGGCAAGGCGGCAGGCAAGCAGGCUAACAGGCAAGCAGGCAAGAGGCGGACGGGUGGGUAGGUUUACGGUAUUCGCCGGUCUGCCAUCGAGCAGCAGUUUUGACGUCACAUCCUGCGCGCGGGCGGACAUCCGGUUUCACUGCCGGACUCCUGUCCCCGAGCGAUAACAAAAUCUACGUUUGUCAAGGAAAAAGAAAGAAACGUAGAGAAGGAGCGAGCGGUCGUUCGAUGCCCGGGACGAGACCAGGGGAGAACGAAUAGUUCCCGUUACCUUUUUCAGCUUGCCGAGCUUUAAAUCGUUUUACCACCACCCGCUAUGUGCGAGUUUCUUUCCGCGAAAAGACGAAAGACAAAACGCCUCGUUUCUUGGUCGGUGAUGGUCGAUUGUUCCCGCGCAAACAAUGAAUCAACGUUCCAACGAUAAACUUGGCGUCGCGUGACGUCGUAUCGCGUCUCGUCACAUCGCGUCACGCUGCGUCGUUGAAUCGCGCAAUUCCGACUCGGUAAUUAACAAAAUUAGUCCUCCAAACAUACGAGCGUGUCGCAGAUACGUGCGAUGAGAAAAGAAAAGUUGUUACAUCGGAAAAUCGCGGAUCGUCCCAGCUUGGAAUCCCACAGGGAUUAACCGAUGGGCAGAAAACGUCCUUUGUUUUUCCUCGACCCUUCCUCGCUUCCGUGUUCUUACUCCAGCGAGAGACAGAGAGAUCUGCAGACUCUCUUUCUCUCUCUCUCUCUCUCUCUCUCUCUUUCUCUCUCCGACAAAGGGUGUAACGUUUGGGUAACAAAGCCGCGCGCAAACUACGGAUACGUGGUCGCGCGUACAGUUUUUCGUCCAGUGAGACGACCGACUAAGCUUUUCGAAAGGACAACCGCAAAUAUUUGUCACCUUAUUAUUUUACUGUCCUGUUCCAUCGCAUUACCAUCGGUUUACACGUUACGAUCAUUCAUUUCUCACGUUCCUUUCGAAAAUUCGAAAGAGCAAAAAUUCUUGACACGCGUUACAUCGUGCGUACUUGGCGUCGUGCCACGCUGUCGUUUCCAAUGAACUCCUCGUAACGGAGAAAAUUUGUUCGACGGGACGAAUUUUGGUUUCACGGAAAUAACCGCGAUGGCUUCUCGAAAGGCGCUUUUAUUACGGUUAUGGAAAUUUUUUCCAAAACCGCGUGACAAGAGUCAACGUCUCCUAGACUUUUUACUACGUUUACAAAAUACCAAAGGUACAGGGAGGGGACGCGGCGACGUUGCUACAUGAGUCUCUCCGUGAUGAAGCAAGGUUGCGCACUAUCAAGGGUUUAACUAGGCGAAGGUUAAGGCAGCCUCACCAACACCGUGAUUCGCCAUAAUCUACAGUCAAUUAUCUGACUUUUACUGUGUCUGGGGAAGGCUCUGCUUGGGAAAAACAGUGUGAUUCGCGGAAAACGCGUGGUCAUCCGACAAUCUGUUGGCGUAAGAGUGCCGAUUUCGAUAAUUUUACCGCAGCUACGAACUAGUAGUUGAAAUCGUUCGAACCGCGAGUAACAGAUGGCAUUAGUUCGUCGAGUACUUUGGUAUCGCGACAUUCGCCUCUGGAAAAGGUUUACGAAUGACGGUUCACGGAUAUCCAGUUGGCGGAUUUCUGAUGGGACCGUUCUAUCGUUCACAUUCCUACAACGAAUCGUAUCGUUGAGAGAUACCGAUCGUAGAAAUCGUAGAACGAGCGAAGAAUCAGGAAGGGCGAAAAUAUACGACAGUUCGUGGAAGAAAAAGAAAAGAGAGAAGUAAGAGGAAAUAAACUCGUGGAAUUAGGACGAGCCGCUUUCGGUUGGAGGGUUGGCAAGUUUGAACGUAUGAAACCGAUGAACCGAUCUCGCGUCUGGUACGCGUAGAUAACCGGCCGUACAACUCGAUGGGGGCGUUUUCGGGGCGGUGUUCGCGUUCCUAAGGGACUCGCGGCUCGGUGCGCGUUUUCCCUGCGGGAAAACCUGAGACGACAACAUACCGAACCCGUUCUCCGCUCGUUCGAAAACGAUUCCUACUCGCACGGCGUUCGACUCGUCCGGCGUCCUCGCGAUAACACCCGCAUCCACGUACGGCACGAAACGGCAAACCUGCCAACCAUACGAAACGCCACUCGCUCGUUCCAACUUUGACCCCAACUUUCUGUUUCCGUUGUUCGCUUCGUACGUGGGAAAAUAACCUCUUUUUCUCUCUCAUCGCCGAUCGUCCCAUCGUCGUUUCGACGAUCGGGCAAACGGUCGCGACGACCAUCACGACGAUCGCAACGAAUACGGCGAUUUCGUCUCUCGAUUACGAACAAACAUGUUCGCCUACGCUCCGUGAGGAUUGUUCAGCUGCCUCUUUCAACGUGACAAUAAAAGAACCGCGUUUGCAAAGGACUCGUGUGCGAGGCACACCCCUAUAAACGUGCUCGCAGGUGGCCACACCGUGUUCUCGACGGAGGAACGUGUUGUGUACGUGCCUCGACGGUUUCUCUCUUCCGCACUCUCUUACGAUCCGCUAGAAUUGCCCGAUCGAGCAAAAACAUUUCGCAGAGCUAACGAAAGCGUCGGCCGAACAGCUUGGCGCCAAACGAGAGGAAGAAGAGGAAGAGGAAGAGGAAGAAGAAGAAGAAAAAGAAGGAGAGAAGGGAGGAAUGUUAAAGGAGCAAGAGAAAGAAAAGAAUGCCAACAAUGUCGCGGUUUAUCUGCGCGUCCUUGGCUAAUCUCUGUCCAUGAAAGAUUACCCUAUCACCGGGAAUUGUGCUGUGUCUCCGACGCUCGAUAUACGUAAGCGUUUCUAUCACCUCCAUCGUCUCUAUCGCCUCUAUCGUUUCUAUCGUUUCGAUGUUCUCCCUCCUGCACUCCAAAAGUAUACUCCACCCCUUAUCCGUAAAAGCUUUCUUCCGCCUCCCAUUCUCUUUCUCAAACGUUCGACGAAUCCUUCUCGGAUCGCAGCCGAUCGACUCGACAAAUCUGUUCCACUCGCCAGUUAGAAGAUUAAAAGCCGGUACCGAAUAUCGAUGUAUCGCGAUGGGCACGCGCUCGCGCUCGCGGACAGUUCGAUAACGCGAUCGGUGGCCGUACGACGAAAUAUUUCUAGGUUCUCGAUCGACGUUCUCUCUGUCGACGUUCGCGCUCGCGACCAAUAACGAGGCUGAAACACGUGCGAAAGUGUAGUUUUAGAUGCGCAAUGUUAAAAGAAAAGUGUGGGGACGGAGAAGGUUUAACGAAGAAGCGAGACGAAGCUCGGAAGAGCGAAACGGUCAUGGACGUUUAUCUUGCAACGAAUAGAACGUAUUUCUAACGCGUGACUAGGAAUUGGCAAAAAUUCGAACGCAAACACGAUACGUUACGCUAUUCGUUUUUCGAGUCAGGCGUACGGCGUAAGUACGGUACGCGGGAAGGAGAGUCGCGGGAAAGUACAAGGAGUGGCAACCGUGGUGACGGUGACGGUGGCAAUGCUGGUGGUGUGGUGUGGUGGUGGUGGUGGCAGCAAUCGUGGUGAUGACGAUGACGAUGGCCGUCAUGGUGGCAGCGGCAGCGGAAAGUAAACGCGGACCAAGACCAACGAGGGAGGAGGAAACGAGGCUAAGCAGGACGAUGCGCGUUACGUUGGGUCAUGCUGCGAAGCGUUAUCGCAGACCGGCGGUCGGCCGAUACCUUAUCUGGAGUAGUUGCACACCGACAGUGGCUCCCAACUUACUCGAAUCGUGAUUCCACUCAUUUUUUUUUUUUUUUCAUUUUUACUUCUUGUCAUAGAGCAAAGCGGAAAAUGGUUCGCUACAUCGAAUUGAUGCAUUCGAUCGAAAUUAUCGUCGCGACGAUACGAAACGAAACCAAGGAGGGCGAGAAGAAAGUAGACCGGAGAGACAGAGCAAAGUCUGCAAUUAAAAAACAGAGAAACAUUCGACGUAGACAGCUAACGACGUAGACUAACGCGAAAAGGACGUUCGCAAAGCAAACGCUCUUUAUCUAAAUAUUGAUUCGCGAUGAUCACGUACCGUUCAACCGAUUCGAAACCCGAUCACGGAUUUGGAUCUGGACUAGGCAAAAUUAGAGAGAGUGGGCGGACCGAUACAACGAUGCCAAACGUUUCUUCAUUGAAGAACAGUGUACCGCGAGAUAACUCGUAGGUAUGUCGUAGCUAAUACACAUGCUACUCGAUGGAACAACCAUUAUUCCACCUAUCACGCAGUCGAGAUAGAAGACAACGCGCGCGUCGGAUAUCGCGUCGCAUCGAAAUUAGCGGACGCGAAAGUUUAUUUCGUUUUAUCUUUAUUUAUUUGUUUGAACUGGAAGUAAAGUGUACCCUUUGGCGUAGAAAAUAGUAAAAGUAAGAGGAGUGUUAACGUUAACAUAUGGAUAUACAUAUAUAAGUUAAAGAUGUAGAUAGAAGCAUGAAAUAAAUUAAAACGAACAUUUUAAGGAGACUAAGGUUUGUACGAACAGACGUAUGCUGCAACGAGAAGACUUGACGCGAUUUAGCACGCGAUGGAAACGAUUAACGUAAGCAUAAGUUGCGUCAUGUUGAUCAGUAUGAAACAAAUUAUUGUUUCUAAGACGCCUCGAGGGAACAAAAUCAGAUGCUACUCCGAUAUCCGCAAUGUCUUUUGGUUUACGAUCGAUCGAUCGAUCGUUACAGCCUUCCGCGUGGACACCGAUUUCCCACGUUCUUUUAAUUUUUUACGACCACCUCGAACAGAGGAAGAUGAACACGCUCGCUCGUUUUUCCGUCUUAUCGUUAGAGGAAAAACUGUAUUUCCGAUUUGCAGAUAUAUAGUAUCAAAGUCUAUUACGAAGGAUGACGUCGCCGGCGACGGAUAUUAAAAUAAAUAAAACGUAUGUCCGUCUUUUAGCCUGCUAGCCUUCUAAUGUUUCGGCCUUCGUAAUCGUUGCAAGCAUACGUAUAUACGCGCGUUAGUUUAUUCUUUCGACUAAUGGCAGUCCAAGUAACCUUGAACACGCUAUGUAUGCACGUAAAAAUCAGCUCGCGAACGUAACGGUACGCUUGGUGAAAAAUACGCGAUGGAAAAUAAACGAGCGAAUCUAUUUAAAUUGGACUGUUCGAUACCGAUGGAAGCGGCGAAUAGCGAAUAAGCAGUAAACAGGAAACGAGACGACCAAGGUGAACAAAUUUUCGAAAAGAACAAGAAAGCUGACGGCAAAUACCUCGGAAGGACUGUUUUGACCUAACGUUAGCUGACCGGGGAAGUUUCGAUUCCCCUGCGAUCGACAACUUAUUCGCAUUCUACGGUGGGGAUAUCGCGAAUGGCACCAAGGAAAAUUGCACACCAUCAAUUCGAUCGCAUCGUCGUUGAUCGAUUUGGAUCGACGCUGUUCGUAUACGCGCCUCGUGCACGUUCGCGUUCCAUGACACACGUCGAUCCUCGCGAAAAGCGCAUGCGCCGCUUCCUUUCUUUUCCAACGUGUUUUUCUUAUCAAUCGUACGCGUAUAUACGUACAUAUAUGCAAACGUAUACCAAUAAACAUAUAUAGUCGCUGCUUCUCCUCCAUUACCUCGCCCCUUCGUCAACUCCUCGUUCUCCUUAUCAUUAUCCCUGCCGGUUUCCCUCCUACUCUCUUACCCUCUUUUUUUCCUUCCCCUUCUUCUCCUUCUCUCGAUCCACGAUACCUCCACCCCAUCCAUCUACCUCUGUGCCUUUGUGUGUCUAAUUAAUUUACGCUGUUGCCCUUCCAACCUCAAUUAUUAAUCUCGCCGUGCUACAAAUAAUACACAGCAAUCGAAUUAAUAUUCCUCGAAUGCCCUUCGACUAAUAUUUCAAUGAAAUAUUUAGACGAGUUGGACGUCUAACCAACGCACAUGAGUACGUACCUUAAGCGCACCGACAACGUUGCUCGGAAAUUUUUCCCCAGUCCAUAUUCCCGUUUUCCAUUCCUAAUCCGAUUCAGUUCGUAUCCAAUUUUCAUUUAUUACGUAUAUAUAAAAGCAAACACUUUUCCUUCUGCAAAUACAACGAUGAUGUGUACAGAAUACAAAAUAGUCGACGUCGGUUAUUCAUUGUCAUAAGUUUUCCCUUCGAUAUGGAUCUUUUCAGUGACUCAUGGAACUUAUUUUUUCCUUGAACCCAGACUAGGCGCUUCACACAAAUAAAUUACCAAUUAUAGCCUAUAGCCAUGAAAAGCUUUUCAAAUUUUUCCAAAAUAACAACAACCGAUCGAUGAUAAUAAUACGAAUGACUAUGUAAGUUUGCAUAUAUAUAAAAUAUGUAUAUAAAUACUGAAUAUAUAUAGAAAAAGAAUCUCGACCUUCUUAUGACCUUCUUUCGGUGUUUGUUGUUUGUAAAGAUGAUUCAUGUUGUCCCAUGACUUCUUAUAAUCUGUACUUUCGUGAGUUUUAUAAUAUUCCAUUACCUUCCGUGAAAUAUGUAUUGUUCAGGUUGUUUCUGCCAGUUUCUGUUGAUCGUACUCUCUGAUCGAGUAAAUCGAUCGCUUUGCUCGGUCACGAUCCGGUAACGCGUUACCGGAAGCUAUGCACGUAUACCGAAACUCAAGGACAAUCAUGUUCAUUCAUUUGUCUUCGGCAAGAUCAAUCAUAUGGAUCAAUGGAUACUAAUCCAAUUCAUUCUCCCUAUACAUAUAAUACGCGACAACCAGAAAACAUGAAUUCAGAUAGUGAUGCACUUUUAGCGAAUAAUACACGAUAUUUCAUAGUUAAUAAAAAAAUUCGCUGAACGAAAAAAUGAAAGUUACGUAUGCACUUGGUUUUGUCGUGCUCUUAAACUCCAUACCACGCUGUACACGGCUAAGCUCGUGUUGCCAGCCUCUCUUAACUUUUCUGCUGAUCGCUUAUUGUAUUCGUCGAGAAACAAUCAACAUCUCCACGCAAGCUUAACUCCAUUUAUACAAACCAGUUUGCGACACGAAUAAAUAGGCUAAGACGAUUCGCAACAGCGGAAAUUCAUUGUUAUUCUUAAGUUUAGCCUAUAUUUUUUUCUUAAGCUAGUGUGCUAAUAUAUGCACACUAUACUAUAUAUAUAUAUAUAUAUAUACACAUGCGCGCGUAUACUUAUGCUAUUACUCAGAUAAAUAUAAAUCUUUAGCGCAAGAAAAUCUUGAUCGGUUAUCGCGAGAAUGUACGUUUCAUCGACAAUUCUACGUCCAAAUCUCGAUAAACGAUACGUUAUAUGACAAUUUCAUUUCAAAUCUUAGCGUAUUCUUAAUCAAUGUAUCCGCUCAUACAUGUUUCUUCUUUUCUCCCUCUCUCUCUCUCUCUCUCUCUCUCAUUAUUCUAUUUGCUUCUCCCAAACUGUCGAGUAAACGAGCAAAAUAAUACGGUUACCGUUUUACGGUUAUAUUUUUUGUUCAAUAUGAGAACAACUCGUGUUAUUAGCUUAAAAUAAAGAUGGGCGAUUAGAGAGUCAAAGGUCAACAUCGUUAAACGAUAUGAGUGUGCGCUGCUUUAUUUUUCCAAACGUAUUUGCAUCAGUAUACGUAAGCACGGCAAAGCAAGAACAAAGUGUAUCGUAACCAAUUGAUAAUACUGCUCGGUAUUUAAGUCGAUAUUUCUACGGAGCUCGUGUUCCACAACGAUGCUUGUAUACUAUUUAUUCUUUUGCUUUAGUUUACGUUGUACUUACACGCUCUCUACCGGUAUGGAUAGAAUUAUUGAAUCAAAGAAAACUGAAUAACGAGUCGAUAAAUUGUAAUACGUACACGUAUAUCUGAACGUAGAGUUUACUCCAGAUAUAAAGAUUUUUCCUCGAAUAAGGGUUCUAUAAAUUACAAUAAAUAACAUAUUAAAAAUAGUUUCUUCCCGUAACGUAAAAUUUAUUAUACUUUUAUAUAAUUCUGUUCGAUUCCAAAGAAAUUUUUUGUUCAAUACACCUUUUUCUACUAUGAACGAUUAUAUCUUUCUAUGGCCUCUGAAUUAAUCCUGUUGCGUAAGCGUAUAACAGAAUACAUGUGUAUUUCCGAAAAUAAAAAAUGCUGACGGUACCGUUCACGUUAUUGUACAAGCGCGUUUUUUUAUAUUCGGAGAACAGACAUGAUCGCGAUGAGAUCGCCACAUAUUUUACGUCUUUUGUCGAGUGUCAUUUAUCUCAGAAAAUUUACAAGCCACGAUUGUCGGUCGACGAACGAUUGAAGACGUUGAUCGACCCCGACCAAUCAUGUAUAAAGGGAAUAAUGAAGAUAGCAUGCCUUAAAGUGAAGAAACAUACACAAUUAGGAAAACCUGUUGAUACGGUGUUUCUUUAAUAAAAAAUAAACAAACAAAAACGAUCUUAUAUAAACACGAUGCAGCGCAGAUGAGGUAAUCAACAAAUAGAAGGGAAUCAGGUUGGAUAUUCAUCAAUCGUCGAUAUUAGUUACAAGUUUCUUUUGAGUAGUAUCCUCAAAAGCUGUGGUACUUCAUUGUUUUCCUUCUUGACAUUUAACUAGAUUAUGUACGCGAUUCGCACUCCUCUACGUGCUACUCUUAACCAAUUAUCAAUCCACAACCCAGUCUAAAUUGCGGUUUACUAUGAUUUAUCAUACCACUUAACGCAAAUGUAAAUGGUAAUGGUUGUAA